AUUAAGCUAAUAACAUUAUAUAGGACACACCAAUAUCAACUUUAUUUGUUCAUUAAUACUUAUAAAGUCAUUACACUAGAAUUUUCUUUCAAAGAAAAUUCUAGUGUAUUGACUUUAUAAGUAUUAAUGGCUUUGGUAUUAAUUAAUGAACAAAUAAAGUUGAUAUUGGUGUGUCGUCUAUAAUGUCAUUAGCUUAAU